UACGAAGGGGGCUAGCGUUGCUCGGAAUUACGGGGCGUAAAGGGCGCGUAGGCGGAUAGUUUAGUCAGAGGUGAAAGCCCAGGGCUCAACCUUGGAAUUGCCUUUGAUACUGGCUAUCUUGAGUUCGGGAGAGGUGAGUGGAAUGCCGAGUGUAGGGGUGAAAUUCGUAGAUAUUCGGCGGAACACCAGUGGCGAAGGCGACUCACUGGCCCGAUACUGACGCUGAGGCGCGAAAGCGUGGGGAGCAAACAGG
rnacentral:rRNA from 1 species